UGUUGAGUGCCCGAGUAGCAGGGGCUAUUUUGAUAGAAUACUAACGCUGAUUAGCCUCAACAA
rnacentral:tRNA from 1 species